AACGAACGCUGGCGGCAUGCCUAACACAUGCAAGUCGAACGAACCCUUCGGGGUUAGUGGCGCACGGGUGCGUAACGCGUGGGAAUCUGCCCUUUGCUUCGGAAUAACAGUUAGAAAUGACUGCUAAUACUGGAUGAUGUCUUCGGACCAAAGAUUUAUCGGCAAAGGAUGAGCCCGCGUAGGAUUAGGUAGUUGGUGGGUUAAAGGCCUACCAAGCCGACGAUCCUUAGCUGGUCUGAGAGGAUGAUCAGCCACACUGGGACUGAGACACGGCCCAGACUCCUACGGGAGGCAGCAGUGGGGAAUAUUGGACAAUGGACGCAAGUCUGAUCCAGCAAUGCCGCGUGAGUGAUGAAGGCCUUAGGGUUGUAAAGCUCUUUUACCAGGGAUGAUAAUGACAGUACCUGGAGAAUAAGCUCCGGCUAACUCCGUGCCAGCAGCCGCCGUAAAAC
rnacentral:rRNA from 1 species